ACAAGUACCGUGAGGGAAAGUUGCAAAGCACUUUGAAGAGAGAGUUAAAGAGGACGUGAAACCGAUGAGAUCGAAACGGAUAGAGUCAGCGUAUCUGACCUGUAUUCAGCCAUCCAAUUGUCAGUCGUCAUGUGUUGAUUUCCAGACUGGGACAGUGUGUGGCUAGCUGAUUGUUGUGUGGUGCAUUUGCAGGUGGAGUGCGUCGAGGCACUCGGUGUGGCGACAUGAGCUCAGUUUUGAGGCCAGCUUGCUGGUACCCGAAUUGGAGGAAUGUUGUUCAUGCUGAGUGGAAUUGGCAAGGCCUACGAGUCCGGUUGGGCAUCGAGCUGGCAGUCAGCGUCGGUCGCAUGCGACACGUGCUGUGCAGUCAGUUCGGUCCUAGUCGAGCUCACAAGCCUAUUCUCGGCGUAAAAGCUGGUCAUCUAUCCGACCCGUCUUGAAACACGGACCAAGGAGUUUAUCGUGUGCGCAAGUCAUUGGGCGUUGAAAACCUAAAGGCGCAAUUAAAGUGAACGCAUCCGCAAGGAGCUGACGUGCGAUCCCGGGUACUGCGGUGCCCGAGCGCAGCAUGGCCCCAUCCCGAUUGCUUGCAAUGGGGUGGAGGAAGAGCGUACGCGGUGAGACCCGAAAGAUGGUGAACUAUUCCUGAGCAGGAUGAAGCCAGAGGAAACUCUGGUGGAAGUCCGAAGCGAUUCUGACGUGCAAAUCGAUCGUCUGACUUGGGUAUAGGGGCGAAAGACUAAUCGAACCAUCUAGUAGCUGGUUCCUUCCGA
rnacentral:rRNA from 1 species